GAACGCACCUUGCGCCCUUUGGCCAUUCCGAAGGGCAUGCCUGUUUGAGUAUCAUGAACACCUCAACUCUCAUGGCUUGCCAUGAUGAGCUUGGACUUUGGGGGUCUUGUCGGCCUGCGGUCGGCUCCUCUCAAAUGGAUCAGCUUGCCAGUGUUUGGUGGCGUCACAGGUGUGAUAACUAUCUGCGCUUGUGGUUUCCCAUCAGAUAACCUUCAGCGAUGGAGGUUCGCUGGGGCUCAUAAAUGUCUCUCCUAAGUGAGGACAGCCCUUUGAACGUUUGACCUCAAAUCAGGUAGGACUACCCGCUGAACUUAAG
rnacentral:misc_RNA from 1 species